CUCCUGGCAGCUCCCAAGGCCCUCCAUGCAGCGGCAGCAACUGGCCUCUGGAUUCCCGGCUGCUGCGGCCAGUGCCGCCGGAAGUACCGAAGGGGGAAGGGCUCUCUCCCACGGAGAGACUUCCUGGGGAGAGUGCUUAAGGCGGGAUGCCUUCAGGAGAGCGAGAAUCCCCGGAGCUGUUUGGAGAGGAGUCGGGCUGCGUCUCGCAGGAGAAAGACAGGACCGCGCUGACAGGGAAAAGGGAGGUGUUUUAUUGAAGAUCUUCUGGCGUCCCCGGCUUUGGAUGAUAAAUUGAGGCAGCAGAGCCCUUCGAACUCUUCACACCGGUGAUCAUGGAGCAGCAAUAGGAAGUCUAUUGCUGCCCGGUUCUGGAGAGUCGCCUGCCUUGUUAUUUCUUCGUCUGCUAGGAGGUUACUUAGAGCGGCUGAGGUUGAGGGACAAUCCAUGGGCUCGCGAUGGCAAAAAGGUUCCAGAGGAUGAUCAGCUCGCUGUGGGUUAUGAGGAUGGGCAUUCUCGGACUUUCUGAAAAGAACAAGACAAAAAGUCAUAAAGGUAAAACAUCAGGAAUGGUUCUGCUCCGGGAGGUCUAAAUCUCCUUCAAAAGGCCUCUUUUUUCUCCUCCAACAGGCUUCUUCAACCUGUGCCACUUUCUUAGUUGGAACUUGACUGGAGGCGGUGUAUGGCCUGACCCAUUUUGAAGGGACCCAUUUUGGACCCGAGGGAGUGGAAACGCAAGCGUAUCCCCUCCCCCAGGUGACAAGGUCAAAGGGUCCUUCCGUCCUCCAGGUCUCGGGGUCUUUGAUGAGAACUGGAGGUUUUUCUUUCGGCUGCAGUUGUUGGUGUUGCCUGAAGUGCCGAACAAUGGGUGGUUUAGAUUCUCAAAAGAGCAGUUUAAGAAAUUGAUCUUAAAAAGGGCCCUGGCAAGGCGGACCUGGGGGGACUCCAUCUUCAUUGCCUCACGUUGUUGUUGAAGGACUCUUUUGAGGCUCUGAUGGGUCCGCUCCACUACAGCUUGACCCGUUGGGGAAUAUGGGAUGCCAGUUUUAUGCUCUAUUCCCCAUUGCUGCAGGAAGUUGCGCAGUUCCCUGGACUUAUACGCUGGGCCGUUGUCAGUUUUUAAUGUUUUUGGAAUGCCCAGCGUGGAGAAGGCUAGAAGUAGGUGUUUCUUGGUGUCAUUUGCCUUCUCCCCUGCGUGGGCGGAGGCAAAAACCGCGCCGGAAAAGGUAUCUACUGAUACGUGAACGAAUUUCAGUUUACCAAACUCAGGGACGUGUGUAACAUCGGACUGCCACACUUCACAACUCGCUAAUCCUCGGGGGUUAGCCCCCGUGCUGACAGACGGGA